GGUCCCUGACGGGGUCCCGCGGGGGCCUCCGGGUUAAGCAAGCGAGACAAGCACACCCUUGACGGAACCAAACUUACGAGGGAAAGAGCUGUAAGCGAGGCCUUUCUCGCUGGAAAUGACACUUUUCCGUGUCAAGAGGUUGAGUUGAAGCGACCUGGGAACUUCGUUUUGGGGCCCAUUGAGGGGCACCACUUAAAGAAACGUGCUCAGCUUUGACCUGUCCUCUUUGAGCGAUGCUCACUGGUGACGCCUGAGGAGAGAGCGGAAGCGCUGUUAAUGUUCUCUCUCCCUAGUGGGUCAAGACAGCUAUAAACGCUAAAGCCCCAAACCCGAAUGAGGUGUGUUACGUGUUCGUCGUGGUAAGGGCGAGACAGAUUAGAAAAAUUGGCCUGAUGGACCAGUUUUUGAAGUCAUUACGCUGUGGUGAUUCAGGAUGAAUCUGUAUUUUUAUAUGCCAAAUAGUCAUCGCUUAAACAUCAAAUGAAAAUGGCUUACCUGUGCAUUUUGCAGAAGGGCCAUGAAGUCAGAACUGGUUUAGAAUUUUAGUUCCACCACUUGCUAACUUUAAGGUCUUGCCUAUGUAAAUUCUCUAACCCUCAAUUUCUCCGUCUAUAAACAAGUAUAAUACUCUAGGUCUUGCAAGGUCAUUGCGAAGAUUAAAGAUUUGUCUGUAAAUUCUCUGCCACAUGAUUCUUUCUGGGCAGCCAAUUUUGCUAAAUCUCAUCUAGGACCAGUUAAGAUCUUUAAAAACUGUCAACACAGAAAAUAUAUGUGUGUUGAAAAGUUGUAUGAGGCCACUGUUGUGUGCCAAUGAGAAGUUAAUUGUGAUAAUGGGAAGGCAUCAGGCAGUGGUGGCUGAGUAUAAGGAUAGAAAGCACCUGGAGCCACGGAGACAGACUGAGUGGUGGCAUUGAACCUGGAGUGCCUUGUUCCAAUCUCCUUAUUAGCUCUGGUUUUCUUCAGGUAUCUGUGCUCCUCCAUUUGGUCAUGUGCAUGUGUUCCAGCUACUUCCGAAGCUCUUAAAGGUGAAUCCUCAUUAACCUAACCAACCAAGGUAGAAACCGGAAAGAAUGUGCUUCUCCAAAAUGAGGGAGUAAAC